rnacentral:rRNA from 1 species
UACAGAGGUCUCAAGCGUUGUUCGGAUUCAUUGGGCGUAAAGGGUGCGUAGGCGGCGCGGUAAGUCGGGUGUGAAAUCUCGGAGCUUAACUCCGAAACUGCAUUCGAUACUGCCGUGCUUGAGGACUGGAGAGGAGACUGGAAUUUACGGUGUAGCGGUGAAAUGCGUAGAUAUCGUAAGGAAGUCCAGUGGCGAAGGCGGGUCUCUGGACAGUUCCUGACGCUGAGGCACGAAGGCCAGGGGAGCAAACGGG